rnacentral:lncRNA from 1 species
CCCCCUCCUAAUUCAUAAUGGUUUAAAAGGUCUGGUCCCCCCUCUAAUUCAUAAUGGUUUAAAAGGUCUGGUCCCCCCUCCUAAUUCAUAAUGGUUUUAAAGGUCUGGUCCCCCCUCCUAAUUCAUAAUGGUUUUAAAGGUCUGGUCCCCCCUCUAAUUCAUAAUGGUUUAAAAGGUCUGGUCCCCCCUCUAAUUCAUAAUGGUUUAAAAGGUCUGGUCCCCCCUCUAAUUCAUAAUGGUUUAAAAGGUCUGGUCCCCCCUCUAAUUCAUAAUGGUUUAAAAGGUCUGGUCCCCCCUCUAAUUCAUAAUGGUUUAAAAGGUCUGGUCCCCCCUCUAAUUCAUAAUGGUUUAAAAGGUCUGGUCCCCCCUCCUAAUUCAUAAUGGUUUUAAAGGUCUGGUCCCCCCUCCUAAUUCAUAAUGGUUUAAAAGGCUAAACUGAUCUCAGAUCAGUACUCUGACACUGUGGAUAAGGGCCCUGUGCUCCUUUCAGCUCCUGCGUGUCCAGUUUGUCAUUAGGCCAAUAUUUAAUACCGAUAUACUACCAUGGUGUAGCUAUGACGACUUCACUAUGCAAAGCAAUGAGUUUAUUACUUUUGUUUUUGUUACUGCUGGUCACUCUUCCUCAACUGCUCCCUCCAAAAAAUGUCUUGCUCUCUCCAUCACAGAAGAAUAAGCUUCUCAACAUAUCAAUGUAUGGCUGCUAAACUCAACUGCUCACAUAAUUGAUUUGUGAAACUGGAAACAACCUGUAGAACUUACUCUGGCUGUCAUAACGUGAAGACAUCCUGUACUAGUCUGUGCUCUGUUUGAAAUAGAACCGCUUUAAAACGACUGCAGUGUAAAUGCCUAUAAUACAUUAGGUCUACCUGAACACAUUUUAAACGUUCUGCAAAAGUCUAAUGAAAUAAAUGAAUGGAAAUCUGUUUGUUGCUUUUCACUUUAUUUUUUCAUGAUAAAGUUAGAAUAAAAACAUCUUAUCAGCCUGAUAAGUCUCUUCCACAAAGUGAGACUCGAUCAUAAAUAAUAAACUUGUUUUGUAAUAAGUUAAGGUACUGUAUAUUCAUACAUUUAUGGAUAUUUAAGUCAUUUAUCUCUUAUCAAAGAGCUAAUCUCGGGGUAACCCAGAACUGAAGUCUGCUCGAUUAAAUUCUAGGUCCAUGAGAUGCUAGAACGAGGAGCUCCAUCCUCUCUGCAAGUUAUGGGCUGAAUGACUGCCCUUCCAAAAUUUGAAAAAAAUGCUAACACCUCGGAAGUUGUGAUUUGUCCAAAUAACCAGUGAUGGAAAAAACUAGGCACCAGAACUAUAGCUGCUCGUUAUCUAUCAGUGCUCAGAAUAGAAAGAUCUAUUGCACCAUUUUAUGUUUACAUAUUCUGCCUAUGAGAGAUUAUCAAAGAACAGGUUAUAAUGUGCUACAAAAAUACUGCAUAUAAUAGCUUUUCAAUAUAGCUUUUUCAGUAUAGAGACAGUCAUUAGAUGACAAAUCUAUACUCGCAAGGCCACAAUCAGACCAAAUACACAUAAUAUACAAAGUGUAUAAAACAUUAGGAAUAGCUGCUCUUUCCAUGACAGACUGACUAGGUGAAUGCUGUGAUCCCUUAUUGAUGUCACCUGUUAAAUCCAAAACCCACUUCACGUGGAGGAGACUGGUUAAAGAAGGAUUUUUAAGCCUUGAGACAAUUGAGGGAAGAAGAUAUUUACGCCGGUGUGGCCAUGAGGUGAGUGUGUAAGAUGGUGGACGGGGGGAAAAAUGUGAAAAGUGGAACAUGUUUUCAGUGAAUAUGGAGUGGUGGAUCACAGAACUUUUGGAAGAGCUAUAGAAGAAACUUGAACGUGACAUGAGAGUGAGGAUGAAUUAACCUCAAUGGCAGGUGCCGUGAAGACCGAGUUUGAGCCUUGUCCUGAUGAUUCUGACCCAGUGGGAGUGUGAAUUUUGGAGACUGGAUCCUUGCCUUCUGGCUGAUCCAUAUGUUGUGUCAGGUUGAGUAAUGUUGGGUCGGUAAAAGUGACUAAUUGGCCCGCUUGCAUUUCUGCAAGAGGGCGUGUGCGCUCCGCACCACACCAAUGGGAACAACAACACUGGCUUGGCCUGAAGUUGAAGAUUCCCGGUGUCUGUGACGCCCAACGUUUGGUGCGAUGCGGACCCAGUGGAGAGCGUGGUGAAACAGAAUACCCUGUCUGUACUAUGAGUUUUGAUGCAGAGUCUUUAACAGAUAAAGUCAAGUUAGGAUGUGUCGAGGAGGGAGGGGUGCAACUCAAUAUUUUGAAGGCGUUCCUAAUGUUUUGUACACUGUAUAUUAUAUUAUUACAACCAGGCAUCAGCUAAUUACAGCUUUUCAAAUAAAAUCUCACUUGUUAGGUUUCUAUCCAACUGGCGACAGAUUUUCAUGUGAAAAUUUUACAAUCCGUAUAAAAAAUAAGUGAGUGAUGACGUAGUGCACACAAAACGUACUGAAUAAAAAUCACAAACUAUUGUGUUAGAUAGGAAAUGUGCCUACUCUGGUCUUGGCACCUGUGACCUAGUCCACAUCUCCUAUAUACAUUGUGGGUAGGCUGUGCAGGUUGGCUAUCUACAUGAGAUUAUUAUGGAUCAGAGACAGAGUUUUUGGAUUUGUCAAACGGCAGUCACGCAUCGAUCCCCAUGUCACCAGAUUAAGAUCCUCGAUAUUUAUUGGAAAGCAGCAUCAAGCUUAUCAUCGUGCACUUCAUAACUUAUUUCAUCUGUAGCCUAAUGAACUGUGUGGUUUCCUGAGUUGUAGUGUCACACACUAUAUCAUCGCGUGACUCCAAAUGUACUUUGAUAUGGUUAUUAUAUCAAUAUUUGAUAAAGACAUUUCCACUACUAUUUACCACAUAAUACAUUUUACUGACACAAAAUCCCACCAUGCAGAACCAACAAAUUAUCUGUCAGCAUUUACAAAAUUACACCGAAACCUGUUUCCAUCACAGCUGUCGUGAUAAUUGUAUUUCAUACGAUAUGACUUCACUCAAAUAAAACUGGACGGAAAUGUGGUUACUAUGGUAAUAUUGCUACGUUUCACUUUAACCAUGCUAACAAUUUAAAAUGUCAGCUUAAAAUGGUGACAAAUGUUUCCCUACAAUCAGUGUCGUUAGGCAUAAAAUCAGCAUUUUUUUUAUGUAUUAAUUGCAUGGUGAUUCACAUUUUCGAUCAUUUAAAAACUACUACAUGAUAAAGUACAGUCAACAACAGGCACUUGGCCCUACAAACAUUGAUUAAUUCAAGACCACUUCACAUAAUGGCACUUUACCCUCAAGCCAUGUCCUGUCCACACACACACACACACACACACACAUCACCUGGAAACAAGUUACAUAUGGUGUACCCUGGUCCCAGAUCUGUUUGUGCGGUCUUGCCAACUCCUACGAUCGAUGUUUAGCUUGACAGUGACCAUAGGAGUUGGCAAGACAGCAUAAACAGAUCUGGGAUCAGGCUACAUAUGGAAUGAACAGAGAUAGAAUGUGACAUUGGUUGAACAAGUGAUCCUCAUCCAACUACAAUAUGUUGUACUAAGUGGCAUGGUCUUAUAUAGGCACAGAGAUACUGCUAUGGUUUGGACCAAAGAGUUGAGUUCCAUUUAAAUUGUGGUAAACUAAUCCAUCUGUUCCCAGAGUGGAUUCUAGGCUUUCCCAACAACCGUUUCAUUUUGGGGGAAGAGUUUUUUGGACAGAAAUGCCUGAAUGUGAGGCCAGAUCUUGUUGGUUUCCGUUCCUGAGAAUGUCUCCAACAUCCCUUUGCUCCUGUUGGUAGAAACAGAUAUUAGUACCUCAUGACAGUCAUCAUAAUAAACAUAAGCAGUAGUUUUUAAAUGGGUAGGUACUCCCUGAUUGUCUCCAGUAACAACACAUAUUUCCGCAUUCCAUUGCAAAAUGUUUUGCUACAGUCUGGUCUACUGAAUACAACCUAGUACUCAACUACAUAAUGCUUUCAAGGUUACCAACAUAGAUUCACUUUCUAACAAAGGGAAAGAUGUGAAUGAAUUCACUGUCUGAUCUGUCUGAGCCUGAAUCCUGCGUUACAGUCCCAAGCUAUUUCAGUUCUCAGACCGGCCCCUGUAGUAGGGUUAAUUCAGAGUUCUCUUCCCGUUGUCCAGUUACCAGUGAAAAAGAGCCCCAGAAGCCAUCUUAUAAAUAACUUGGAUGCUUUUAACAUCCUAUGUACACAGGAGCUCUUGACUAAUGUUUUCCUUCUUUAAUUGGCCACAGAAAUAGAUGUGAUAUGAAUCAAUCCUGACAUUCAGUCAUGCACAAUGUCUAAUUGAGAUUAAUGUCCAUUUGUUAUGUCCCAACUUUGAAAGGGCAGAUAUAAGCCUUAAAGCCUAUGAUGUAAGAAGAUAAACUGCAACAUUAUUACACAGUUACAGCUUACAUAAUAAUGAAUAUAAAAGGUAUAUAUGUGUGUGUGUGUGUGUGUGUGUGUGUGUGUGUGUGUGUGU